AAAUCAUGAGGGCAUUUCUUAAGCAUUUCUUGAAAUCUCUCUCAACUUUAAUAAAUUUACUCUCCCUUAAUUUAUGCAAAAGAAGUGAUAUCAUUUCUAAGUUU